rnacentral:rRNA from 1 species
GACGAACGCUGGCGGCGUGCUUAACACAUGCAAGUCGAACGGAAAGGCCCUGCUUGUGUGGGGUGCUCGAGUGGCGAACGGGUGAGUAACACGUGAGUAACCGGCCCUUGACUUUGGGAUAACUUCAGGAAACUGGGGCUAAUACCGGAUAGGAGCUCCUGCUGCAGGGUGGGGGUUGGAAAGUUUCGGCGGUUGGGGAUGGACGGGCGGCUUAUCAGCUUGUUGGUGGGGUAGUGGCUUACCAAGGCUUUGACGGGUAGCCGGCCUGAGAGGGUGACCGGCCACAUUGGGACUGAGAUACGGCCCAGACUCCUACGGGAGGCAGCAGUGGGGAAUAUUGCACAAUGGGCGGAAGCCUGAUGCAGCAACGCCGCGUGCGGGAUGACGGCCUUCGGGUUGUAAACCGCUUUCGCCUGUGACGAAGCGUGAGUGACGGUAAUGGGUAAAGAAGCACCGGCUAACUACGUG